CCUACGGGAGGCUGCAGUAGGGAAUAUUGCUCAAUGGGGGAAACCCUGAAGCAGCAACGCCGCGUGGAGGAUGAAGGUUUUCGGAUUGUAAACUCCUUUUGUUAGAGAAGAUAAUGACGGUAUCUAACGAAUAAGCACCGGCUAACUCCGUGCCAGCAGCCGCGGUAAUACGGAGGGUGCAAGCGUUACUCGGAAUCACUGGGCGUAAAGGGCGCGUAGGCGGGAUAGCAAGUCAGAUGUGAAAUCCUAUGGCUUAACCAUAGAACUGCAGUUGAAACUGUUAUUCUAGAGUAUGGGAGAGGUAGGUGGAAUUCGUGGUGUAGGGGUAAAAUCCGUAGAGAUCAAGAGGAAUACUCAUUGCGAAGGCGGCCUGCUAGAACAUAACUGACGCUGAUGCGCGAAAGCGUGGGGAGCAAACAGGAUUAGAUACCCGGGUAGUC
rnacentral:rRNA from 1 species